AUUGAACGCUGGCGGCAUGCCUUACACAUGCAAGUCGAACGGCAGCACGGGAGCAAUCCUGGUGGCGAGUGGCGAACGGGUGAGUAAAGUAUCGGAACGUGCCCAGUCGUGGGGGAUAACGUAGCGAAAGUUACGCUAAUACCGCAUACGAUCUAUGGAUGAAGGCGGGGGAUCGCAAGACCUCGCGCGAUUGGAGCGGCCGAUAUCAGAUUAGGUAGUUGGUGGGGUAAAGGCUCACCAAGCCGACGAUCUGUAGCUGGUCUGAGAGGACGACCAGCCACACUGGGACUGAGACACGGCCCAGGCUCCUACGGGAGGCAGCAGUGGGGAAUUUUGGACAAUGGGCGAAAGCCUGAUCCAGCCAUGCCGCGUGCAGGAUGAAGGCCUUCGGGUUGUAAACUGCUUUUGUACGGAACGAAAAGGUUUGGCCUAAUAAGCUGAGCUCAUGACGGUACCGUAAGAAUAAGCACCGGCUAACUACGUGCCAGCAGCCGCCGUAA
rnacentral:rRNA from 1 species